GUGCAGCAGUCGAGAAUCUUCCCAAUGGACGAAAGUCUGAGGGAGCGACGCCGCGUGAAUGAAGAAGCCCUUCGGGGUGUAAAUUCUUUCUUUAGGAAAAUUCGUGAUGGUACUAAAGGAAUAAGGGGCCGCCAAACUCGUGCCAGCAGCGGCGGUAAUACGAGUGCCCCGAGCGUUAUCCGGAAUUACUGGGGCGUAAAGCGCUAAAAGGCGGUUUGAUAAGUCAGACGUCAAAUCUCCGAGCUCAACUCGGAGCCGGUGUCUGAAACUGUCUAACUUGAGGACGGAAGAGGCAAGCGGAAUGGCUGGUGUAGCAGUAAAAUGCGUUAA
rnacentral:rRNA from 1 species